rnacentral:rRNA from 1 species
CCUACGGGUGGCAGCAGUGGGGAAUAUUGCACAAUGGGGGAAACUCUGAUGCAGCGACGCCGCGUGCGUGAAGAAGUCUCUCUGUACGUAAAGCUGUAUCAGCAGGGAAGAAAAUGACGGUACCUGACUAUGACUCCCCGGCUCACUACGUGCCAGCAGCCGCGGGAAUACGGAGGGGGCAAGCGUUAUCCGGAUUUACUGGGUGUAAAGGGAGCGUAGACGGCAGCACAAGUCUGUAGUGAAAUCCCGGGGCUUAACGCCGGAACUGCUUUGGAUACUGUGCGGCUGGAGUGCAGGAGGGGUAGGCGGAAUGCCUGGUGUAGCGGUGAAAUGCUUAGAGAUUA